rnacentral:rRNA from 1 species
AUUGAACGCUGGCGGCAUGCUUUACACAUGCAAGUCGAACGGUAACAGGCCGCAAGGUGCUGACGAGUGGCGAACGGGUGAGUAAUGCAUCGGAACGUGCCCAGUCGUGGGGGAUAACGCAGCGAAAGCUGCGCUAAUACCGCAUACGAUCUAUGGAUGAAAGCGGGGGACCGUAAGGCCCCGCGCGAUUGGAGCGGCCGAUGUCAGAUUAGGUAGUUGGUGGGGUAAAGGCUCACCAAGCCAACGAUCUGUAGCUGGUCUGGGAGGACGACCAGCCACACUGGGACUGAGACACGGCCCAGACUCCUACGGGAGGCAGCAGUGGGGAAUUUUGGACAAUGGGCGCAAGCCUGAUCCAGCAAUGCCGCGUGCAGGAAGAAGGCCUUCGGGUUGUAAACUGCUUUUGUACGGAACGAAACGGUCCUGGUUAAUACCCGGGGCUAAUGACGGUACCGUAAGAAUAAGCACCGGCUAACUACGUGCCAGCCGCCGCGGUAACAC